ensembl:lncRNA
CGAUGAAAUGUGUUCUUUUUCCAGUUUAAUUUUGUGGUGGCGGGGUGUGGUUAGCUCAGCUGCAGAGGGGAGAGCGGGGGGAGUGGUUCAGGAAACACCCGGCAGGUAGUUAACAAGCACAGCUGAAUAACAUCCUGACUGAUUGUCUCCCAUGUAAAACAGUGAGCAGGACUUGGAGAACAGAGAAACUUGGAGCAGACGCUUGGGGGCCAAGGAAGCCACAAACCUGCGCUCACUGCGAAAUAAAAUAAAGUAUCUUGAUAAGCAGACCUGUGUGUCUGUGCGUCCUUCAAAGAACCCCAUAGUAGUAGCUCAGUCAUGGCUACAAAUUUACUGUCCAGAUAGACACAGAGAUAUUUAUAUGAUUGGGCAAUUUAUCUACUGUACCACAAUUAUAUCUGGCGAAACUUAACUUAAUAAUUCCUCGGGUGGAAUUCCCAUGGUGGCGCUAUUGGUUUAUAACAGUAAAGCAAAUAGAUUACCCUCUUAGCAUUGUCACACAUGCUUAAUUUAGCAACGUAUGGUUGUUUGAUUCAAUCUGCUGAUAUAUAUCCACAGGGAGUGAGGCAUAACCCCUUAUUUCCAUUUUGUGGAACUGAAGAGCUGUAUCAGACCUGAAUUUAUUAUUUUUUGUCCAUAAUGCUGCUGUUGCUAGUUAUAAUCAACCAGCUUUUUAUGGGAACGACUCAAUUUUCCUUCCAAGGUUGAAUAAGAUCCCAACUUUACAUUUCAAUAUCCACCUUGCGCCUCACGCAGUCUCCACAUGAAUCAUUUCCUUCUAACCAUAUUUGCAUGCAAUUUUAAAUCUGGAAGUCUACACUAUAUUAUAGAUGAGUAUGUUGAAUGACGCUGAGGUUACCAGAGUAUAAACAUGUGUGCCAUUCAACUUCAACAAUUCUACUGCAUUAAUUCUAACAGUCUGACUUCCUAAACAUCAUAAAUCACUGCUAGACUAGCAGACCGACCCCUCUCACCUUCCAUCUCACUCCACUUUUUGGCCUCAACCAUAUCUUCCCUCCACCUGCUCCCUUUUUAAAAUCUCUCUCUCGCUUUUACUUGUGAGGUCCAGAAUGUUUUGUGGUGUGCAGUCUAAAAAGCGCUCUGAUGGAUUAGCUGUCUUCCAUAGGCUUGAAGAUUAACUCAAGGGCAACCCACUCCUGUUUCCUGGAUGCCACGCUGAAGAUGAAUAAACUUCUCCUACCUCAUUACAGCGUAGGAGAAUAUAAAUUUAAAAAAAUGUUCGCCGAAGUUGGCCAAUGUGUCCCUCUCAGUCAGUCCCUGUCUCUCUCACUAUUUAUUAUUAGAAGAUAAACCAGCAGCCUGAUGUAAAGUGACAGUGUGCGUUCGGUUCUUGUUUGUUCCCUGACAACCCAGGAAAUUGGCUUUUCAUCUUACAAAAAAACCACUGCAAUGUAUAUUAGAGGACAUUCAUUUUAUCAUGAAGGCCGGGGAUAAUUGGAAGGCUUAGCAUUCAUUUUUGUAGUGUACGCCAUAUGAAGGGCCAUAUUUACCAAGCCUUUUGUGGCGUUUUCUUUGUCGCCAUUCAGGAAUUAAGGAACUUUGUAUUCCCCAUAUGGUUUAACAUGGGCCAUGUUCCACAUUAGUCCACACCCUGGCCGGUUCUCAAUAUGUGGUCUUGUCUGGACUUGUGCGCCCAGAACUUCUGGGUAGUUUUUGUGGUCACAAAUUACAAAGACAAAAGAAGAAGAAGACGACAAAAUCAGCCUUUUUUUCAGGCUGAGAGAACUUUUGGUUAUUUUAAAUUCAAAUUAAUUUAGUCAGUUAGUCAUGUACUUUAGCUGAAAGUAAUAAUUCAAUAAAACACUGCAUGAAAAGUGGGAUUUUUUGCAGUAUGCGGCACUGUAAAUUGUCGUGGAAUUUCAGGUUUGCGGCAAUUUGCGGGCAACGCCGAAAACUGCCGUAAAUUGUCAGAAAUUGAUGUGGGCCUCCCUUGGCAGUUGUCCCCCCAUGACCCCCCUCCUCCUAAUUCUAGGGGAGGCUUUGACAUGUAAAUGAAAAUGCUGUGAGCUAAACAAAUGCAAAUCAGGGUUGCAGAGGGAGUUUUAGCCCAGGUGACAUUUUUUUAAAAGUCCGCAGACAGACGAGAAGAAGCUGCUGAAUGCUCUCAGUGGAUCGUCUCGUCAACUACAACAACAAACUGCCGAUAUCAACGAGCGGUUCGCGCCACUGGAGCGUUCGGGACUCUCCAGGUUUCUGUCCAUGGAGGAGAGGAACUGACUCAAAGAAGAGGAGACGGGCGCACAAUCCCAAGAUAGCGGAAGCGGUGCGCCGUCUUCACAACUCCGAGACGAACUACAGGCGCCACGAACCGGAGCAAGGACUAAUCUCGCCUCAUAAUGAGGCGGUGACCUCGUAUUUGCUCUGGGAAAAGUCCAGAUUUAGACAACGUCAUUGUGUGUAAGUGACACUGUUUACUGUUUCUCCUUCCUUGUUAAAUGUUACUGUGACUUGCGUUUGAUUUUUUUUGUAUUCAUACCACACUCAUUUAAUUGUUUUCCAACCGCCUGUGAGACGUAUUUUGAGACGGGACGCAGGAGCUUCAGGUUCAGGCGGAACACUCACUGCGGGCGGAAGCUGCGAAUGAUUCAGCGCGAGAAGAAAGCCGCUGCUGGAAUCGAGACAAAGUGUGCUGGCUGAUGACGAGGUGGAACUCUGGAAAUCCGCCACCGUAGAGCUCACGUCGGCCGGAGGGGACGGCGUUGUUGGCGGGGUCUCGGGGUGGAUUGUACGGUCGCCACACACACACACGAGCCGCCUGCACAACAGACCUGCCUCGGAAAACACGGCGCCAGUGACGGUCUACAACCCCGAGGAAGGCAAACGGACAGUUUACUGAGCUGUAAUUUUUAAACCGCCGUUACCCAAGUGUGGGCAGAUCCUCACUUUGUAUGUAGUUGUUGUUUGUGUGUUGUAAAUAAAGCUUUUUCUUUGCAUAAACAUGUGGCAAAUGUUCAUUUUCUCUCUAAAUUCAUUGAUGUCCUGGUUAGUAUUCCAAUAAUAGUGUAGUAGCCUACAUAGGAUAACCAUGAAAUGAAUAUACAGCAUAAUAUGAAUAUAUAAAUAAAAUGAGGC